rnacentral:rRNA from 1 species
ACGACUCUCGGCAACGGAUAUCUUGGCUCUCGCAUCGAUGAAGAACGUAGCGAAAUGCGAUACUUGGUGUGAAUUGCAGAAUCCCGUGAACCAUCGAGUUUUUGAACGCAAGUUGCGCCCGAAGCCUUUGGCCAGGGCACGUCUGCCUGGGCGUCACGCAA